rnacentral:rRNA from 1 species
UACGUAGGGUGCAAGCGUUAAUCGGAAUUACUGGGCGUAAAGCGUGCGCAGGCGGUUUUGUAAGACAGGUGUGAAAUCCCCGGGCUCAACCUGGGAACUGCAUUUGUGACUGCAUAGCUAGAGUACGGUAGAGGGGGAUGGAAUUCCGCGUGUAGCAGUGAAAUGCGUAGAUAUGCGGAGGAACACCGAUGGCGAAGGCAAUCCCCUGGGCCUGCACUGACGCUCAUGCACGAAAGCGUGGGGAGCAAACAGG